AGAACUUCAAAAAUUUACAGCAAAUGCCAAAGAAUGGAUAGAAAAAGAUGCUAAAAAUGUUAUUGUAGUACACUGCAAAGGAGGCAAAGGACGUACUGGUACAUGUAUAAGUUGUUGGCUAUUGGAGUCUGGUGAAUUCAAAACAGCAAAGGAUGCUCUUGAUCACUUUGGAAAUCGCAGGACAGAUUAUGAUGUUGGCAGAAAAUUUCAAGGAGUGCAAACACCUAGCCAGGUAUGUCUUUUACAAGUAACGCUCUAACAAACACCUAUCCAGGUAUGUCUUUUACAAGUACCCACUCUAACAACCACCUAGAUAAGGAUGUCUUUUACAAGUACCCCCUCUAAUCAAACACCUAGCCAGGAAUAUCUUUUACAAGUACAGAAACUGCUCUAACAAACACCUAGCCAGGUUAUGUCUUUUACAAGUACUAGCUCUAACAAACACUUAUCCAGGGACGUCUUUUACAGGUACCCCCUCUAAUCAAACACCUAGCCAGGUAUGUCUUUUACAAUACCUUCUCUAACAAACACCCAGUUAGCUAUGCAAUUUUUUUUUGGCCAACAAACAACUUUUUAUCUUUUAAACCCCAACUAGAAUUCUAUAUUCUUUGUGACCUUGAAAUGAUUACCAGAACAGAAUGAUAAUACUGUCAUUUUUACUCCCAUGUCACCAACGUCUCUUAGCAACUGUGGCAAGAAUGC